AUUGAUAGGAAAUAAAAGAAUGUUGGAGUUGGAAGAUUACAAUUUCAGAUUUGGAUGACAUAGUUUCCUAUGGUGUGACACACUGAAGAUACACUUCUGGAAUGCAACAUGGACUCCUGGACAAAACCUUAUAUACCUGGAAGGCGGGGUCAAGGUGGCAUCUGGGCAUGUGCGAGGCCCAUUUCACGCUGGAGGCCGUCCGGAG